GAUGAAGAACGCAGCGAAAUGCGAUACGUAAUGUGAAUUGCAGAAUUCAGUGAAUCAUCGAAUCUUUGAACGCAUAUUGCGCUCUCUGGUAUUCCGGAGAGCAUGCUUGUUUGAGUAUCAGUAAACACCUCAACUCCCUUUUCUUUUUUGAAAUUGGAGCUGGACUUGAGUGAUCCCAACGCUUUCUUCCAAGAAAGUGGCGGGUUGCUUGAAAUUCAGGUGCAGCUGAACUUUUCUCGUAGCUAUAAGCAUAUCUAUUUAGUCUGCCUAAAAAACAGAUUAUUACCUUUGCUGCAGCUAACAUAAAGGAGACUAGUUCUUGUGCUGACUGAUGCAGGAUUCACAGAGACAGCUUCGGCUGACUUUGUAAACUCGAUCUCAAAUCAAGUAAGACUACCCGCUGAACUUAAGCAUAUCAAUAAGCGGAGGA
rnacentral:misc_RNA from 1 species